rnacentral:ncRNA from 1 species
UCUCCGGUUCCAUCGUUCACGUUGCAUUAGAGUAUAAGCGAGAUGCUCUUACACCAGAAAGAUAGUAUAAGCUAGUUCUCACUAGCCGGGCCCUUAUUCCUACUACAGGGCUAUCUUAGAACAUUCUUUAUUUGCUUUUUCAACAACGAAAUGGAGCUGGGCAAUAUGACUGAUAGGAAUGUUCACUACUACUUGGCCCAGACUCCCACUGGGGGCAGCAGUGGGGACUCGGACAAUGGGGAAAGCCCGAUUCAUCAAUAUCGCGUGAGUGAAGAAGGGCAAUGCUGUUUGUAAAACUCUUUCGUCGAGUGCGCAAUCAUGACAGGACUCAACGAAGAAGCCCUGGUAAGAAGGGGGGGGGGGUGUCUUCGGAAUGACUGAGUGUAAAGCGCACGUAGACGAUGAAUCGGGAUGAAAGUGAAAGUUGCCAAAAAGUGAUGGAAUGCUCUCGGAACCAAUUCACUAGAGUGAACCAUCAUUAGGGUUAAGGGGAGUAGAAGUAGAGCAUCAUUACUGCCACUAGAUGCAUCAUUGUUGAUAUGUUAUUUAGUUCCUUC